rnacentral:rRNA from 1 species
GGGUUGUGAGGUUAAGCGACUAAGCGUACACGGUGGAUGCCCUGGCAGUCAGAGGCGAUGAAGGGCGUGCUAAUCUGCGAUAAGCGCCGGUAAGGUGAUAUGAACCGUUAUAACCGGCGAUACCCGAAUGGGGAAACCCAGUGUGACUCGUCACACUAUCAUUAACUGAAUCCAUAGGUUAAUGAGGCGAACCGGGGGAACUGAAACAUCUAAGUACCCCGAGGAAAAUAAAUCAACCGAGAUUCCCCCAGUAGCGGCGAGCGAACGGGGAGGAGCCCAGAGCCUGAAUCAGCAUGUGUGUUAGUGGAAGCGUCUGGAAAGGCGCGCGAUACAGGGUGACAGCCCCGUACACAAAAGCGCAUGUGCUGUGAGCUCGAUGAGUAGGGCGGGACACGUGGUAUCCUGUCUGAAUAUGGGGGGACCAUCCUCCAAGGCUAAAUACUCCUGACUGACCGAUAGUGAACCAGUACCGUGAGGGAAAGGCGAAAAGAACCCCGGCGAGGGGAGUGAAAAAGAACCUGAAACCGUGUACGUACAAGCAGUGGGAGCCCCACCACCAAAGCAUUCUCUGGUGUUGAAGGCCCUGCAAAGCAGCAUCGCGGUGGCGGAGCGUCGUUUGCGACGCCCAACACACAAAACAAGCGGUGAGUGCUUUGGGGUGGGGUGACUGCGUACCUUUUGUAUAAUGGGUCAGCGACUUAUAUUCUGUAGCAAGGUUAACCGAAUAGGGGAGCCGGAGGGAAACCGAGUCUUAAUUGGGCGUUAAGUUGCAGGGUAUAGACCCGAAACCCGGUGAUCUAGCCAUGGGCAGGUUGAAGGUUGGGUAACACUAACUGGAGGACCGAACCGACUAAUGUUGAAAAAUUAGCGGAUGACCUGUGGCUGGGGGUGAAAGGCCAAUCAAACCGGGAGAUAGCUGGUUCUCCCCGAAAGCUAUUUAGGUAGCGCCUCGUGAAUUCAUCUCCGGGGGUAGAGCACUGUUUCGGCUAGGGGGUCAUCCCGACUUACCAACCCGAUGCAAACUGCGAAUACCGGAGAAUGUUAUCACGGGAGACACACGGCGGGUGCUAACGUCCGUCGUGAAGAGGGAAACAACCCAGACCGCCAGCUAAGGUCCCAAAGUCAUGGUUAAGUGGGAAACGAUGUGGGAAGGCCCAGACAGCCAGGAUGUUGGCUUAGAAGCAGCCAUCAUUUAAAGAAAGCGUAAUAGCUCACUGGUCGAGUCGGCCUGCGCGGAAGAUGUAACGGGGCUAAACCAUGCACCGAAGCUGCGGCAGCGAACGUAUCACUUAAAGCGAUUCAGCGGGUUACGAUUGACGGAGCGAAGCGACGUCAAAGCGUAUACAAAGUCGAGUCGGUUUAAGGAUACGUUCGUUGGGUAGGGGAGCGUUCUGUAAGCCUGUGAAG